UUCCUUUGUGCUUUAAAUGAAAAAUGUCUCUCGUGGAACGAUGCAGAGAAGAUUAGCAUGGCUUCUGUGCAAGGAUGACAUGCAAAUUCAUGAAGUGUUCCAUAUUUUC
ensembl:snRNA U6 U6 spliceosomal RNA